rnacentral:rRNA from 1 species
GAUGAACGCUGACAGAAUGCUUAACACAUGCAAGUCAACUUGAACUUCGGUUUGGGUGGCGGACGGGUGAGUAACGCGUAAAGAACUUGCCUCACAGAUAGGGACAACAUUUGGAAACGAAUGCUAAUACCUGAUAUUAUGAUUAUAUGGCAUCGUAUAAUUAUGAAAGCUAUAUGCGCUGUGAGAGAGCUUUGCGUCCCAUUAGCUAGUUGGAGAGGUAACGGCUCACCAAGGCGAUGAUGGGUAGCCGUCCUGAGAGGGUGAUCGGCCACAAGGGGACUGAGACACGGCCCUUACUCCUACGGGAGGAAGAAGUGGGGAAUAUUGGACAAUGGACCAAGAGUUUGAUAGAGACAUUCUGUGUGCACGAUGAAGUUUUUCGGAAUGUAAAGUGCUUUCAGUUGAGAAGAAAAAAAUGACGGUACCAACAGAAGAAGUGACGGCUAAAUACGUG